rnacentral:misc_RNA from 1 species
GUCUGAUAAAUUCAAAUCCAACAUUUGGCUCAACCUCAAGAAUAUUACUCCAUCUCAAAAUUCACUUGGUUUUGUCUGAAACCACUACCUGCAUAUCCUCUCUCAUCCUUGUUUUUCCUUUCAUUUUCUAUUGGAGAAGGAUGAGUUCUUUUUUCUUCUUUUUAUAGUGCUCGGCCAAAAUAAGUUUUGAAGGCUAUCUAUGAAAGGUGAAAUUGAUU